rnacentral:rRNA from 1 species
AGAGUUUGAUCAUGGCUCAGAACGAACGCUGGCGGCAUGCCUAACACAUGCAAGUCGAACGCUCCCCGGAUCUCGGUCCGGGGGGAGUGGCGCACGGGUGAGUAGCGCGUGGGAACCUGCCCUGUUGUGGGGGAUAACCGAGGGAAACUUCGGCUAAUACCGCAUACGCCCCGGGGAGUGAUCCUGGGGGGAAAGAUUGAUCGCAGCAGGAGGGGCCCGCGUCGGAUUAGCUGGUUGGCGGGGUAACGGCCCACCAAGGCGAUGAUCCGUAGCUGGUCUGAGAGGAUGAUCAGCCACACUGGGACUGAGACACGGCCCAGACUCCUACGGGAGGCAGCAGUGGGGAAUAUUGGACAAUGGGGGCAACCCUGAUCCAGCAAUGCCGCGUGAGUGAUGAAGGCCUUCGGGUUGUAAAGCUCUUUCGCCCGCGACGAUGAUGACGGUAGCGGGAGAAGAAGCCCCGGCUAACUUCGUGCCAGCAGCCGCGGCAAUACGAAGGGGGCGAGCGUUGUUCGGAAUCACUGGGCGUAAAGGGCGCGUAGGCGGCCCUGCUUGUCGCGUGUGAAAGCCCCGGGCUCAACCUGGGAACGGCGCGCGAGACGGCGGGGCUGGAGUUCGGGAGAGGAGCGUGGAAUUCCCAGUGUAGAGGUGAAAUUCGUAGAUAUUGGGAAGAACACCGGUGGCGAAGGCGGCGCUCUGGACCGAGACUGACGCUGAGGCGCGAAAGCGUGGGGAGCAAACAGGAUUAGAUACCCCGGUAGUCC